UACGUAGGUGGCAAGCGUUGUCCGGAUUUACUGGGCGUAAAGAGCGCGCAGGCGGUCGGAUAAGUCGAAUGUGAAAGCCCCCGGCUCAACUGGGGAGGGUCAUUCGAUACUGUUCGACUCGAAGGCAGGAGAGGGAAGUGGAAUUCCGGGUGUAGUGGUGAAAUGCGUAGAUAUCGGGAGGAACACCAGUGGCGAAGGCGACUUCCUGGCCUGUUCUUGACGCUGAGGCGCGAAAGCUAGGGUAGCAAACAGG
rnacentral:rRNA from 1 species